rnacentral:tRNA from 1 species
AGGGAUAUGGCUCAGUGGUAGAGCACAUGCUUAGCAUGCACGAGGUCCUGGGUUCAAUCCCUAGUAUCUCCA